GACGAACGCUGGCGGCGUGCUUAACACAUGCAAGUCGAACGGAAAGGCCCUGCUUGCUUCGUUCUCGACUGGCUAACGUGUGAGUAACUCGUGGGUGAUCUGCUCUGCCCUUCGUGAUAAGCCUGGGAAACUGGGUCUACUACCGGAUAUGACCUUUCAUGCCGCGUGGGGGGUGGAAAGCUUUUUCGGUGUGGGAUGAGCCUGCGGCGUAUCAGCUUGGUGGUGGGGUAAUGUCCUACCAAGGCGUGGUCGGGUAGCCGGCCUGAGAGGGUGGACGGCCAGAUUGGGACUGAGAUGCGGCCCAGACUCCUACGGGAGGGAGCGGUGGGGAAUAUUGCACAAUGGGCGGAAGCCUAAUGCAGCGACGCCGCGUGGGGGAUGACGGCCUUCGGGUUGUAAACCUCUUUCGACAGGGACGAAGCGUUGGUGACGGUACCUGUAGAAGAAGCACCGGCUAACUACGUG
rnacentral:rRNA from 1 species